GGAAGGAUCAUUCUUGUAUCAUCAUACCACUUUCCAGUGGCAAACUGUGUGAACUGUACAUCUCACUUGUGCGCAUCGGCUGUUGUUGAUGCUGCUGGAACGGGUGAGCUCAAUUGGCGAAAGGCGGUGCCGCUUCUUUUGCGAAGCGGCAUGCGCGUCGUCAUAUUUUGCUUUCCGUCUGCUCUGGCACGCAGGCACGCAGCUGCUGGUGUCGCACUUACCACGUACCAUCAACAAACCUCAAAGCUUACGUUAUCAUUUAAUUAUAAAUACAACUUUUAGCAACGGAUCUCUUGGCUCUCGCAACGAUGAAGAACGCAGCGAAAUGCGAUAAGUAGUGUGAAUUGCAGACCGUGAAUCAUCGAAUCUCUGAACGCACAUUGCACUGCCCGGAAUUCCGGACAGUAUAUCUGUUUGAGUAUCAUUUCUCAAUCCUGUACUCUGCUGUGUGCUCUUGUUUACAACCAAGUGUCCAGUUAUUGAUGUACGAGAAAUUGGAGGUUAACCAUUUCACGAUGGUUCCCUUUGAAACAACCCUUGAUACUCGGCCGACUAAACGCUGACACUGCUCAAGUCCGCAAGGAAUACGCGUGGUGAAAGCGUCGGCCAAAGGUGUCUGAAAAGUUGUCACAAGGAUAACACGGUUAAUCUGCGCUAUCCUUGAACUUUGAUCUCAAAUCAGAUAAGACUACCCGCUGAACUUAAGCAUAUUAAUAAGCGGAGGAAAAGAAACUAACUAGGAUUCCCUCAGUAACGGCGAGUGAAGCGGGAAUAGCUCAAAUUUGUAAUCCCUUUGGGAAUUGUAGUUUGUAGAGGCGUUAUCGAUGGCUAGCCGAGGUUAUGUCCCUUGGGAUAGGGCGUCAUAGAGGGUGAGAAUCCCGUAUAUGUUUCGGCAAUGUCGCGUUUGAUACGUCUUCAAAGAGUCGGGUUGUUUGGGACUGCAGCCCUAACUGGGUGGUAUAUUCCAUCUAAAGCUAAAUACUGGCGAGAGACCGAUAGCGAACAAGUACUGUGAAGGAAAGAUGAAAAGAACUUUGAAAAGAGAGUUAAAUAGUACGUGAAAUUGCUAAAAGGGAAACGCUUGAAACCAGUGUGACUUGGUCGAAAUCAGCCGUUCACUACGGACGGUGCACUUUUGAUCUGGUCGGUCAACAUCAGUUCUUUGUGGCGCAAAAGCUGUCGAGAAAGUAGCUCCUUGUGAGUGUUAUAGCUCGAUUGUAUGCGCUGCGAGGGACUGAGGCUUGCCUUUGCAGGAUGUUGACGAAAUGGUUUUAAACGACCCGUCUUGAAACACGGACCAAGGGGUCUAACAUAUGUGCGAGUAUUUGGGUGUCAAACCCGAAUGCGUAAUGAAAGUGAACGUAGGUGGGAUCCCGCAAGGGUGCACCAUCGACCGAUCUGGAUUUUUAAUGAUAGAUUUGAGUAAGAGCACAUCUGCUAGGACCCGAAAGAUGGUGAACUAUGCCUGCAUAGGGCGAAGCCAGAGGAAACUCUGGUGGAGGCUCGUAGCGAUUCUGACGUGCAAAUCGAUCGUCAAAUGUGGGUAUAGGGGCGAAAGACUAAUCGAACCAUCUGGUAGCUGGUUCCCUC
rnacentral:misc_RNA from 1 species